rnacentral:rRNA from 1 species
AUUGAACGCUGGCGGCAGGCUUAACACAUGCAAGUCGAGCGGGGUGAUGGUGCUUGCACUAUCACUUAGCGGCGGACGGGUGAGUAAUGCUUAGGAAUCUGCCUAUUAGUGGGGGACAACAUCUCGAAAGGGAUGCUAAUACCGCAUACGUCCUACGGGAGAAAGCAGGGGAUCACUUGUGACCUUGCGCUAAUAGAUGAGCCUAAGUCGGAUUAGCUAGUUGGUGGGGUAAAGGCCUACCAAGGCGACGAUCCGUAGCGGGUCUGAGAGGAGGAUCCGCCACACUGGGACUGGGACACGGCCCAGACUCCUACGGGAGGCAGCAGUGGGGAAUAUUGGACAAUGGGGGGAACCCUGAUCCAGCCAUGCCGCGUGUGUGAAGAAGGCCUUAUGGUUGUAAAGCACUUUAAGCGAGGAGGAGGCUUACCUAGUUAAUACCUGGGAUAAGUGGACGUUACUCGCAGAAUAAGCACCGGCUAACUCUGUGCCAGCCGCCGCGGUAA